AUUGAACGCUGGCGGCAGGCCUAACACAUGCAAGUCGAGCGGAUGAGAAGAGCUUGCUCUCCGAUUCAGCGGCGGCCGGGUGAGUAAUGCCUAGGAAUCUGCCUGGCAGUGGGGGACAAAGUGUCGAAUGGAACGCUAAUACCGCAUACGUCCUACGGGAGAAAUCAUGGGACCUUGGGGCCUCGCGCGAUCAGAUGAGCCUAGGUCGGAGUAGCUAGUUGGUGAGGUAAUGGCUCACCAAGGCGACGAUCCGUAACUGGUCUGCGAGGAUGAUCAGUCACACUGGAACUGAAACACGGUCCAGACUCCUACGGGAGGCAGCAGUGGGGAAUAUUGGACAAUGGGCGAAAGCCUGAUCCAGCCAUGCCGCGUGUGUGAAGAAGGUCUUCGGAUUGUAAAGCACUUUAAGUUGGGAGGAAGGGCAGUAAGUUAAUACCUUGCUGUUUUGACGUUACCGACAGAAUAAGCACCGGCUAACUCUGUGCCAGCAGCCGCCGUAA
rnacentral:rRNA from 1 species